UCUAUAUAGAACCAUAGCUUACUGAAGAACCCUUUUUUGCUGAAAUGGUUCUUUGUCUUGGCAAAAGGGUUCUUUUUUCCCUCCUUUUUUGAUUUUAAAUUUAGUCAGUUAUUUUCAAGCUGCCUCUUGAUUAUUUUCACCUGUAAAAGCCCUGAAUCAUCAGUCCUGCUGAACUGCCUGCAGACUAACAACACAAACAGGUAAGAGAGGAAAAUAAUCAUCAUUUACUGUUAAAAACAUUUUGAAAAUUGAAGUUUUGUGUGUUCUUAUUGUAAUUUAUUUAUUUUAUAACAGGUAAGCUUUAUACUGAAAGCUUCAUUCCCUUUAAAGCAGAGUUUUUAUAUUUGAGGUAAUCUUGCUGGGAGUGAAGGCAGUGCGUAUGAUCGCUUGAUAUGAGACACACAUACUGUAUUUAAAGGUCAACUUUAUACGUAAGCUUCAUUCCAUUUAUAACAGAGUUUUCAUAUGUGAGGUAAUCUUACUGGGAGUGAAGGCAGUGCAUAUGACCACUUGAUAUGAAAGACACAUCCUGUUUUUAAAGGUGGAUCAUGAGUGAAGCUCUGCAGGUCUGCCAUUAGCUUGAUAACAGUGGUUUAUGUGAAUUGAGUGAAUUCAAUUUAUAAAUAAAUCUUUCACCAAGCAUUCACCUAUUUACGGACAAAACAGAUCCAAAUCUUGUUCAGCCUGAUGCUCAACACAGCCAGGUGAUGGAGAUCUGUUUUAAUCACAGCCUGCGUCUCAAGAUCAACAUGACAAUAGCAGACCAUUUCUUAUCUUACUCUUAUCUGACUAAAUGUUCAGCAUCAUUGCAACAAAACAAAGAACAUUGGAUGGAGUAUUGGAGUAUUGGAUGAUCCCGUAAAGAAAAUAAUAUUGACUUUUUUGGUGAGAUUCUACAAAUAUUGACACAAUCCUAUUGACUUUUAUUUUUACAGUUAAUAAUGCAUUAUAAACAUCCCAUUCAUUUGUAUUCUAUGUCAUCGAUCUGUUUGUGCUAAAAUGUAUACAUCUGAAUGUAAUGUCAAUAAUAUGUUAAUAUUCAGGAUUUAUUAUCAUUUGCAUGUUUUGAUGUUGCAUAUCAUGAUUUUAUUGAUUUCAUGUAAUUGUUGUCUAUUUAAAAUUAUUUUAAUUGCCAAAUUUUUUUGUUACUUUAUUAAAUAUUGAAGCUGUUAUUUAACAUCCAUAUCUUAUUUGAGUAGUGAUAGGUUAUUUGCAUAAUAAUUCAUAUAUUUAUUUUGAUUGUGAUUUUAAUGCAAAUA